AGGGCACCACCAGGAGUGGAGCCUGCGGCUUAAUUUGACUCAACACGGGAAAACUCACCCGGCCCGGACACCGUAAGGAUUGACAGACUGAGAGCUCUUUCUUAAUCCGGUGGGUGGUGGUGCAUGGCCGUUCUUAGUUGGUGGAGCGAUUUGUCUGGUUAAUUCCGAUAACGAACGAGACUCUGGCCUAUUAAAUAGACGGUGUAUCUUGAAGUAUACCGCGCUUCUUAGAGGGACAAGCGGCGUCUAGCCGCAUAAAAUAGAGCAAUAACAGGUCUGUGAUGCCCUUAGAUGUCCGGGGCUGCACGCGCGCUACACUGAAAGAAUCAGCGUGCGAUUAGCCUGGUUCGGAAGAAUCGGGUAACCCAAGUAAAUUCUUUCGUGCUUGGGAUAGGGAAUUGCAAUUAUUUCCCUUAAACGAGGAAUUCCCAGUAAAUGCGGGUCAUAAGCUCGCGUUGAUCACGUCCCUGCCCUUUGUGCACACCGCCCGUCGCUACUACCGAUUGGAUGACUUAGUGA
rnacentral:rRNA from 1 species